rnacentral:rRNA from 1 species
AGAGUUUGAUCCUGGCUCAGAACGAACGCUGGCGGCGUGCCUAAUACAUGCAAGUAGAACGCUGAAGAGAGGAGCUUGCUCUUCUUGGAUGAGUUGCGAACGGGUGAGUAACGCGUAGGUAACCUGCCUUGUAGCGGGGGAUAACUAUUGGAAACGAUAGCUAAUACCGCAUAACAAUGGAUGACACAUGUCAUUUAUUUGAAAGGGGCAAUUGCUCCACUACAAGAUGGACCUGCGUUGUAUUAGCUAGUAGGUGAGGUAAUGGCUCACCUAGGCGACGAUACAUAGCCGACCUGAGAGGGUGAUCGGCCACACUGGGACUGAGACACGGCCCAGACUCCUACGGGAGGCAGCAGUAGGGAAUCUUCGGCAAUGGGGGCAACCCUGACCGAGCAACGCCGCGUGAGUGAAGAAGGUUUUCGGAUCGUAAAGCUCUGUUGUAAGUCAAGAACGGGUGUGAGAGUGGAAAGUUCACACUGUGACGGUAGCUUACCAGAAAGGGACGGCUAACUACGUGCCAGCAGCCGCGGUAAUACGUAGGUCCCGAGCGUUGUCCGGAUUUAUUGGGCGUAAAGCGAGCGCAGGCGGUUUGAUAAGUCUGAAGUUAAAGGCUGUGGCUCAACCAUAGUUCGCUUUGGAAACUGUCAAACUUGAGUGCAGAAGGGGAGAGUGGAAUUCCAUGUGUAGCGGUGAAAUGCGUAGAUAUAUGGAGGAACACCGGUGGCGAAAGCGGCUCUCUGGUCUGUAACUGACGCUGAGGCUCGAAAGCGUGGGGAGCGAACAGGAUUAGAUACCCUGGUAGUCCACGCCGUAAACGAUGAGUGCUAGGUGUUGGAUCCUUUCCGGGAUUCAGUGCCGCAGCU